AUACGUAGAUAUCUGGAGGACACCGGUGGCGAAGGCGGCGAUCUGGCCCCACAUUGACACUGAGACCCGAAAGCGUGGGGAUCAAACAGGAUUAGAUACCCUGGUAGUCCACGCCAUAAACGAUGGACACUUGGUGUUGGAGGUAUUGACCCCUUCAGUGCCGAAGCUAACGCGUUAAGUAUUCCGCCUGGGGAGUAC
rnacentral:rRNA from 1 species